GUGGACGGAGGGGCCGGAAGCCCGGAGCUGCUGCCUCUUGUAGGGCCACGUAAGAGGAGGGAUGAGGGUGAACGGCAUCUGCUGCCCAGGCGGGAUCCGGCACAGCCCCGCACACGCACUGCUGCUGCUGAGGGAGCUCUGGUGAUCGCGGAGGAUCAAAAUCGGGACCUAGUCCCAAGGCCGUCGCGUUUAGAUCACCCUGUCCUGGUCGUUGUGACCGCGAGAGGCGCAGGCUCUCCUGUCUUAUGUUACCUGCCGGCCCAGGCUGCCUGCCAGGCUCGUUUCCGUGGUUGUUUUUGAGGCACUGACCGGAGACCGCGGUGAGAAAUGGGCUGGAUGCGAUGCUCCUGGCGCCACAGGGGUUCCCACCCUCGGGCAUCGCCCAGAGCCAGAUGCGAGGUGCCAGCCUGGGGCAUGGCCUCGGCCGAGGCAGCAGCAGCCUGAUGCGAUGUGCUGAAUCCAUCCAAAAUGACUCAUUUUCUGACGGUAGCAGGCGAUGAGUAGCUGUGACUGUCGCCCGGCUGGGUUUCUGCGAUGGGAGAGGGCUGGCGGGAUCCUGGCAGAGAGGCAGCCCUUUCCUAGGGCCGCGCUUCCCUCUGGUGGAAGGCCGUAAAGACACAGUCCUUUCCCGGCUGACGCCUUCCGCGGGGAGAUUUAAUUUAAUGGGAGCAGCGAAGCAACCCCCAAGCCCGGAGAGGGCCCAUCAGUCCUUGGGUUUUCGCGUGCGCGAAGAGAAAUGGCCAAGCGUUAGGCAAUAAAAAUGUGAAGUGGCAUCUUGCCUGCGGUGCUUUAGUGCCCUUGUGAAGCGCCGGAGACUGCUCUGCCCCCGGGGAAAGGCAGGACAAGAGCCGGUGACGGGGAGCAGCAGCCGGCCGCGUUCGGAUGAGAUAUUAUGUCCGUUCGAAUGAGAAAUACAGCGGGGGAGAGGAGCCAGCGCAGGUGCGGAGCCCUGCAGCUUUGCAGCCCGGCGCCUUGGAGCUCGGUGUUACCCGCAGCCGUUGUUCCGGUGCAGCGUGGCCCAGACCAGGCCUGCGGGGCCGCAACCACAUCCGCCUCGAGCCCCAUCCCCGCGGGAGGCGGCAGCACGGAGCCGGGCUCGGAUGCACCCAGGGAAGAGCCGCACGGACCGGCCAGCCGGCCGCAUCCCCGUCCCGCACGCUCCUCUCGGACGCGGUACGUGCAGCCGAGCCGCGGCGUCUCUUGGACCCCGUCCCUCUUGCCGCCAGAUGGCAGGGCUGGCCCUGCGAUGGCAGGGGACGUGGGG
rnacentral:lncRNA from 1 species